AAAAUGGAAUCUCUCUUUGACAGAAAACAGGGAGUGUAAAUUAAAGCCUGGGGGAAGAUGUAUUUCUUCUGUUUGCCAGUAUUUUACGAAGUUUUAUGAGCAUGAUUAUUUCUCCACAAGGAGUGAGUUAUGCUUUUCAUUCCAAACAAGUGAUGGUAGGAGAUACUUACACUCUGUAAAACAAAAUAAGACAGAGGGUUAAAACUCAAAAGAAUUUUUCUUCCCAAAGAAACUGAAUGGGUAUGGAAGACAGACUGGGAAAAAUUGAACCCUGGCUUCCUUUAAAACUCAGCUCAAGCAACAUGACCUACAUAAGAUCCUUCCUGAUCCUUCCAGAGUCUACCGCCUUGGUUUGUUGUCUUUGUGCAAACUGCACAUUUACAGACCAGCAUGGAAUUGGAACAGAGAAGAGAUUACAGUUCUAUGUCAUACAAGUCUGAAACAUACUACUUUUCUAAAGAGACUUUGUACUUGGGACCUGAACCACAUUCCCACUCCACAAAUCUGAUAUCAUUAAGUAUUGUGGCUAAGAGAUUCUCAUUAUAAUCUUGCAUAGCUGCAAACUGUGUGACUAUUGGACAAAUCACUACAUCUCUAUCUCAACCUCCUCUCAACACAUGCCCUAAUAAUUUGCCUCACAAAAUUGUUGGGUAUGUGCACAUUUCCGAAACCCAGCACUUCCUAUGGGGCUGCCAUAGUCCCCAGCAGUUCAAAGUUCUUAAGUUGUUUUGGUUUAGCCUACAAUUACUUUAUCUUGUAUGUCUCUAAUCCCAGAAAUUGGUUUAUCAAAAACAAAUUAUAAGAAAUAAUCAUGGACCACACUUUCCACCUGAGUUUCAACUGAUCCUCAAAGCCCUAAACUAGUUCUCACCCCAGGAUAAAAUUAACACAAAGUUCUUAUGCCCAAAGGUCUACAAAAAUGUGCAUACCCUUUAAUCCAGCAAUAGCA